UGUAAAGUAAUUCAAGCGGCCUUC
rnacentral:siRNA from 1 species